GAAAUGCGAUAAGUAAUGUGAAUUGCAGAAUUCAGUGAAUCAUCGAAUCUUUGAACGCACAUUGCGCCCGCCAGUAUUCUGGCGGGCAUGCCUGUUCGAGCGUCAUUUCAUCCAUCAAGCCCCGCGCUUGUGUUGGGGACCUGCGGCUGCCGCAGGCCCUGAAAACCAGUGGCGGGCUCGCUGUCACACCGGGCGUAGUAGAUUUUAUCUCGCUCAGGGCGUGCUGCGGGUUCCGGCCGUUAAAAAGCCUUUUUUACCCAAGGUUGACCUCGGAUCAGGUAGGAAGACCCGCUGAACUUAAGC
rnacentral:misc_RNA from 1 species